UACAGAGGUCUCAAGCGUUGUUCGGAUUCAUUGGGCGUAAAGGGUGCGCAGGUGGCAAAGGUAAGUCAGGUGUGAAAGCCUGGGGCUCAACCCCAGAAGAGCAUUUGAUACUGCCUUGCUAGAGGACUGGAGAGGAGACUGGAAUUCACGGUGUAGCAGUGAAAUGCGUAGAUAUCGUGAGGAAGGCCAGUGGAGAAGGCGGGUCUCUGGACAGUUCCUGACACUGAGGCACGAAGGCUAGGGGAGCAAACGGG
rnacentral:rRNA from 1 species